UACACUCCUGCGGGAGGCAGCAGUGGGGAAUUUUGGCCAAUGGGCGAAAGCCUGAUCCAGCAAUGCCGCGUGUGUGAAGAAGGCCUUCGGGUUGUAAAGCACUUUUGUCCGGAAAGAAAUCCUUGGCUCUAAUACAGUCGGGGGAUGACGGUACCGGAAGAAUAAGCACCGGCUAACUACGUGCCAGCAGCCGCGGUAAUACGUAGGGUGCGAGCGUUAAUCGGAAUUACUGGGCGUAAAGCGUGCGCAGGCGGUUUGCUAAGACCGAUGUGAAAUCCCCGGGCUCAACCUGGGAACUGCAUUGGUGACUGGCAGGCUAGAGUAUGGCAGAGGGGGGUAGAAUUCCACGUGUAGCAGUGAAAUGCGUAGAGAUGUGGAGGAAUACCGAUGGCGAAGGCAGCCCCCUGGGCCAAUACUGACGCUCACGCACGAAAGCGUGGGGAGCAAACAGGAUUAGAUACCCCUGUAGUCCCA
rnacentral:rRNA from 1 species